rnacentral:rRNA from 1 species
UAAGCCGUUGAAGGUGAAUCGUAAGGUUUGCUGGAGGUAUCAGAAGUGCGAAUGCUGACAUGAGUAACGACAAAGGGGGUGAAAAACCUCCUCGCCGGAAGACCAAGGGUUCCUGUCCAACGUUAAUCGGGGCAGGGUGAGUCGACCCCUAAGGUGAGGCCGAAAGGCGUAAUCGAUGGGAAACGGGUUAAUAUUCCCGUACUUCUGACUAUUGCGAUGGGGGGACGGAGAAGGCUAGGUGGGCCAGGCGACGGUUGUCCUGGUUCAAGUGCGUAGGCUUGAGAGUUAGGUAAAUCCGGCUCUCUCUAAGGCUGAGACACGACGUCGAGCUGCUACGGCAGUGAAGUCAUUGAUGCCAUGCUUCCAGGAAAAGCCUCUAAGCUUCAGAUAGUCAGGAAUCGUACCCCAAACCGACACAGGUGGUCGGGUAGAGAAUACCAAGGCGCUUGAGAGAACUCGGGUGAAGGAACUAGGCAAAAUGGUACCGUAACUUCGGGAGAAGGUACGCUCUUGAUGGUGAAGUCCCUCGCGGAUGGAGCUGACGAGAGUCGCAGAUACCAGGUGGCUGCAACUGUUUAUUAAAAACACAGCACUGUGCAAAAUCGCAAGAUGACGUAUACGGUGUGACGCCUGCCCGGUGCCGGAAGGUUAAUUGAUGGGGUUAGCGCAAGCGAAGCUCUUGAUCGAAGCCCCGGUAAACGGCGGCCGUAACUAUAACGGUCCUAAGGUAGCGAAAUUCCUUGUCGGGUAAGUUCCGACCUGCACGAAUGGCGUAAUGAUGGCCACGCUGUCUCCACCCGAGACUCAGUGAAAUUGAAAUCGCUGUGAAGAUGCAGUGUACCCGCGGCUAGACGGAAAGACCCCGUGAACCUUUACUACAGCUUGGCACUGAACAUUGAACCUACAUGUGUAGGAUAGGUGGGAGGCUAUGAAGACGUGACGCCAGUUGCGUUGGAGCCGUCCUUGAAAUACCACCCUUGUAUGUUUGAUGUUCUAACUUAGACCCAUUAUCUGGGUUGAGGACAGUGCCUGGUGGGUAGUUUGACUGGGGCGGUCUCCUCCCAAAGAGUAACGGAGGAGCACGAAGGUGGGCUAAUCACGGUUGGACAUCGUGAGGUUAGUGCAAUGGCAUAAGCCCGCUUAACUGCGAGAAUGACGGUUCGAGCAGGUGCGAAAGCAGGUCAUAGUGAUCCGGUGGUUCUGUAUGGAAGGGCCAUCGCUCAACGGAUAAAAGGUACUCCGGGGAUAACAGGCUGAUACCGCCCAAGAGUUCAUAUCGACGGCGGUGUUUGGCACCUCGAUGUCGGCUCAUCACAUCCUGGGGCUGAAGUCGGUCCCAAGGGUAUGGCUGUUCGCCAUUUAAAGUGGUACGCGAGCUGGGUUUAGAACGUCGUGAGACAGUUCGGUCCCUAUCUGCCGUGGGCGUUGGAAGAUUGAAGGGGGCUGCUCCUAGUACGAGAGGACCGGAGUGGACGAACCUCUGGUGUUCGGGUUGUGUCGCCAGACGCAUUGCCCGGUAGCUAAGUUCGGAAUUGAUAAGCGCUGAAAGCAUCUAAGCGCGAAGCGAGCCCUGAGAUGAGUCUUCCCUGAUACUUUAAGUAUCCUAAAGGGUUGUUCGAGACUAGAACGUUGAU